rnacentral:tRNA from 1 species
GGGGAGAGAGUUCAGUGAGUAAGAGUGCUUGCUUCAUAAGCAUGAGGAUCUGGGUUCAGAUCCCAGUGCCCACA